GACGAACGCUGGCGGCGUGCUUAACACAUGCAAGUCGAACGAUGAAGAAGAGACACGCGCACUUCGGUUCAAAUUUCACUUCGGAUUAGUGGCAGACGGGUGAGUAACGCGUGAGCAACCUACCUCUUACAAAGGGAUAGCCUCGGGAAACCGUGAUUAAUACCAUAUGACACAUUCAUAAGGCAUCUUAAGAAUGUUAAAGCUACGGCGGUAAGAGAUGGGCUCGCGUCCCAUUAGCUAGUUGGUGAGGUAACGGCCCACCAAGGCGACGAUGGGUAACCGGCCUGAGAGGGUGAACGGUCACAUUGGAACUGAGACACGGUCCAAACUCCUACGGGAGGCAGCAGUGGGGAAUAUUGCACAAUGGAGGGAACUCUGAUGCAGCGACGCCGCGUGAGCGAUGAAGGAAUUCGUGUCGUAAAGCUCUGUUCUAUGGGAAGAAAAGGACUGUACCAUAGGAGAAAGCCCCGGCUAAAUACGUG
rnacentral:rRNA from 1 species